UAUUCUAAAUGUCUUUUAAUGUAAUGAGCAUGCUGUUUAAUUACACGUUUAUUAAUAUUUACAAGCUAGAUCUAUAAAUAUUACUAAUUUGCAAUUUAAGGCUAUUAAUUAACCUGUAAGUUUUUAUCUACUUUAAACUAUUUCUCGUCCGCCGCCAGCCUUAUACGCUAACGUGGGUAAUUAAGUCCAUAUAUAAGUAUACGUACACGAAGCAAUCUUUUUUUACAUUCACAGCGCACUUUCAACGAUAAUUAGUGAAAGUGUGUUGCACGAUGUUUUUUUUCUACUUUAAUCUGUGCUAAUCAAUUAUGUUCAAUGAUUAUUGAUGUUCUUAAUUGUUACACUUUUUAUGUUUAUCGGCAACUUUUUUCCUUGUUGUUAACUUAAUUAAAAAUUAUGAAAAAAAUACGAUUUAAAGUCGUGACCGCACCCUUUUUACACAAAGAUGAAAAGACAUUAAAAAAAACUGAACAGCAAGUACCAAGACGGAUCGCGCCGCAGUAUAUUGAUCGAAAUUCAAGUUCAGAACAAAAAGUGGACCGGCGGCGGCGCUCUCUAUCGGGCGCGCGCUGACGCCCGCCCGCGCGAAAGGGACGGAUGCCGACGCCCGCGCCCACGGAGGAGGCCGGUACAUUGAACUCGCCUAGGGUUCGAGGCUGCGCGCUCGAAAUAAUAUCCGUCUCUUUCCGUCAGAAGCGAAACGACGUAACGCGCGCCGAAAUGGGAACGCGACGCGGCGCUCAAAAGAGCGGGCCGCUUGCGUGCGCGCGCCCGCUUUUUCGAAAUGCGAAAGCGUGGCUAUUUUCGAAACGGUUUUCGGUGUUCGCCGGCGAAGUGUUUGAUAGACGAUAUAGAACGAUUUUUGUUAUUUGAAAAGCGUAUGGUGGCGUGGUUUUAGCUGUAACUUGGUUGGUUUUCUCCCCGGUUCGUCUGUAGUGAAAGCUCCGAUGUGCCGGUGAGCGUGCAGUGCCGUGCUGUGGGCCCGUGUCGUAUUCUACGGCAGUGCCCUGACGCCUCGUUGUUUUCAGUUGGGCCUAAAGCAACACCGGGCGAUUACUUUCCCCUCGUCCCCUUGUCUGGAAAAACCUUGACACACAGGUUACAUAACCCACCAAACCACAUUCUUAACUUCAAUGGUUCUCUUUUCACAAUGGUGCUGACUGCUGGUGCCACAUGGUUCCCUGGACAUGCAAUGACUUCUAUAAACAGCCAAAGAUAAUCGCGACGAGGAUGUGGAUUUAACUGCAAGAAACAAUUUUAAAGGGAUAUUUAAAGAUAAAUGCAAUGAUGGAAUAUAACGAUGACAAUUGCUGGUACUUUAAUCCAUAAUAAGUUGUGAUAAAAAAAAAUAAUGAUCUCAAUUAGAUUUUUCAGACGUGAAUACAUUUAGUUGAAAUAUGAAACUCCAACUGGUGACAUAGUAAGAAGCAGGUUAGUAUUUAAUGCGGACGCAAUAGAUUCAUUGUCACACCUAGAGACUUUAAGUGAUCUGUUAGGGCACAUCUUAGUGAUAAACCGUCAACCUCAUCGUUUAAUGGUUACAUAGCAGUCCUUUUGUGCGGAUUUUUCACACUAAGUCUACACUUAAGGAUUCUCUAAAUUACCAUUUAACCAAGAGUCGUAACAUUUGGAGUGCGGCACUCUCUGAGUGUGGUGUGGAAUGAAUGAAGAUAAUUUACGCGAUAUAAAAGAAAUAUUGACUAUUUCACAGAUGAAUUUAACAGAUGGCUAUUGAUAGUCGGGGACGAAGGAAUUUUAUACUGAAGCUUUGUAUAGGUAUUAAAUAAAUUUAUCCAUUCUUUUAUAUUUCUAGAAAAGCACAUUUUUAAGUCUGUGUCGCUAACCGACUAGGUUCUUUGUCAGUUCCUAAUCUGACUAGGCUGUACUGUGUUCAAUUUUCAUUGACUAUUUAAUAUUUUAUUUAUAUAUCCAUCUUAUCUAUUUCGCAGUAUAGUCAUUAGAAUAGCUCUUAGUUUUUUAUUAUAUUUAGUUGUUUAUUUUGUUACCUUUUGUGUUAUUUUUGUUUCUUUUUCUUUGUUGUGAUACAUUUUACAAUAUUAGUGGGUUCUAAUAUUGUUGGAUUUAUCAUUUUUUCCUUUUAGCACCUUGCCCCCCUCAACUGGAACCCGUAGAUCCGAACUUGUGCGCAUUUGACGUUCCGGAGACGCCAUCUUGCGAUCUAUCUGUCACUCUGUCAAAACAACGUUUAAGAAUAAUUCUACAACAUAUUUUUGGUUAUAGAUUAUAGAAUAUUAUGUAUAAAACGUUUUUUUGAUAAUCUGUGGCAGGAAUUUCGCAGUUUGCGCGGCUUCACACAAGUUUGGUGAUACGCGGGCGCAGUUUUGGCGGGAAAUCGUCGCCUUCUUCGUUUUUUUUUUUUUCGUAUAUUUAUUGUUUGUAGU